GCACCCCUCCAGAUACUCCACUGCAGAGUGAGGCACCGGAAGCAUCUGUGGGCCCCUCUGCAUUUAGCGGGUUCAGCUUACUUAGCAUUUAUCAGAAUCUACAGUGGGCCAGGUACUGUGCUCGCACAGGAGAUGGGGAAGCACCCGCUCAUGAGGUGACACACCCCGGGGCAGGCACGGUGGCCGGGUGGUGGUGGAGGCAGAUAAGGCCUGAGCCAGGGUCCUGGAAGCCAGGAGAGGAGGAAGCCAGAACAUCAUACCCCACAGAGAGAUGGAAGCCCGCAAAGCUACAGGAGGCCAGGACACCCAGGAGCCAGGAGACUUUGGUGAAAAUCUCUCCAGCGUGAUGCCAAGGCAGGAUCACACUGCUGUGGGGAGCUGAGUGUGCACAGACCAGCCACACCUCCUCUUCUGAGAACACUCUGAGAGCCUGGCACCUCGACCGGGAUCAUCGCUGCUCCAGACUCAUUGUCAGAACAUCGCAUGCUGUGAUGUCCCCAAAGACGGGGGAUUAAACAAGGCAGGCAGAGGGGGCUCCGGAUGGGGACCCCAGCAAACGGCCCUGCUCUGGGGACUCGAUAUGGAAGCAGUGCUCAAUGCCAUCGGGGCUCAUCUGUGAGUGGCUCCUUCUCCAUGGGUGGGACGGGUCAUCCUGAAAGCUGAUACGGCAGCUUUCUGGGCAAAGCCGACUUUCUUUCCACUGGACUCCUGGAAUUUUCUCAUCCUAAAGCGGGAAUAAACUCCAGCCACUGCUGGUAAA